ensembl:lncRNA
GGAAGAUAAACAAAAAUAAACACAGUACAAUAAGAAUUUUUGUUGCAGAUUUUACUAUUUUUAUUUAGAUUUUUUUAAACAUUUUUUCCGGGGCUUUUUGUUUUAUCAGCUGGGCCCCGGACCAACCGAACCAAGCAAUGCAGAAACCAAAGGUUUCACCAAAAAUUCGCUUCUUCACUUUACUUUACAUUUGUAGCAGUAUUCAUUGGUCAGCAACGUGUUAAAGAGAUUUCUUGGUUCAGUUUUGGCAUUACAUUCAUUGGUUUUUUUCUGGUCGGUUCUUGGCUUUGUAGCAUUUGUCGGAAAUUUGAGGCUUCAUGCGCGGAUCGUCAGGCGUCACAGCGGUGUUAGGCUUCGCAGACUGCGCAGGCCUCUGCACAUCUGGGCACCAGCACAAAACAAAGAUAGAGACUCAUGCAAAUGAGUUUCCCCUCUGAAUGACGCUGUGCCAGAUGACCCCGCCCCUGGCAGCAAGGAUUUACAUGACCUCCGCCUCCUUCAUGAUGCUAGAACAAAGAAGAAAACCCUUCAGCUACAGGAAAUGCAGAUGGUGUCAAAUAUCAAUUAUAUAACAACUGUAUAACCAUAUAACUUAUUAUAUUACAAUAUUACCGAAUAAUGCGUUUGAACGAAAUCAUUGGAUAUAACACUGUAAGGUUUAUGUUUACAGUAGUACCCAGUCAUAAAAACAUCUGAUAUACUCACACAUUAGUGCUCCAAGACCAGUCAGGUUUCCACAGCAUCUCCCACAGAGGAAACACCGUAGACCUGUAAAGAUGAUUCAGUUUCCAGGUUACACAUCGACAUAAACACCAAAAUAAAAUUUGCAUGUCAAAAUUUGCUAAUCAUUUAAUUGCAAUGAUUGAAAACACUUUAUGUAAUCUUUAAGGAAACACAUUUUUGUAAUAAAGUAAUAAUUACGGGAAAUUUUCUCUAUAACUAGUUGUCUUACCUUGUUGAUCUGGCAGCAGAAGGAUCUGGUCACGGAAAGGACAGAUCAGUGUGUCUCUCUGUAAUUUAUACUAGUACACGGUUCCCACCCCUGCUUGAUCUGUUAACAGCUGUUGCUCUAGUUUCCCUUUCCCAGUAGUUUCUGGCCUUCUAUCUGCUCAUUGUUCUGUUUCUUGGGGAAUGGCAUAACAUUUGUUUUAGUUUUUUAGUGCCUUUUAAACAUCCAGUAAAGUGAAUCUUGAUCACUCUUAUCUCUAGAAAUGUAGAUUGGGAAACUUAAGUGUAAUAUGAUGCUUACCUUAGUAAAUAAUCCAUGCUUUUUCUUUCUAUGAAUCUUUCUUAUGUAUAUUUUUUCGUACUUCCCAUUAAAUUUUGACUGCAAAUAGUACAAGUAAUCUUUUUUUUUUUUUUUUAAUCAUGUCCAUGUUUGUGUGCAUCUUACAUAGCAUGUGCCUUUAAAGUCACAAAGUAGAACAAAACCUGCUAUGUUUUGCCCUUGGAAGCAGGAUCUUCUCAACUCCAUCUCCUCUCUAUAUAACGAAAAAAAAUUGAAAAAACACAUCAAGAUCGCCAAAUGGGAUUGCAGAUAAUAAUUAUAUUGCAAUUUAUAAAUU